ACUGUUUCGGCUAGGGGGCCAUCCCGGCUUACCAACCCGAUGCAAACUGCGAAUACCGGAGAAUGUUAUCACGGGAGACACACGGCGGGUGCUAACGUCCGUCGUGAAGAGGGAAACAACCCAGACCGCCAGCUAAGGUCCCAAAGUCAUGGUUAAGUGGGAAACGAUGUGGGAAGGCCCAGACAGCCAGGAUGUUGGCUUAGAAGCAGCCAUCAUUUAAAGAAAGCGUAAUAGCUCACUGGUCGAGUCGGCCUGCGCGGAAGAUGUAACGGGGCUAAACCAUGCACCGAAGCUGCGGCAGCGACGCUGAUGCGUUGUUGGGUAGGGGAGCGUUCUGUAAGCCUGCGAAGGUGGCCUGUGAGGGUUGCUGGAGGUAUCAGAAGUGCGAAUGCUGACAUAAGUAACGAUAAAGCGGGUGAAAAGCCCGCUCGCCGGAAGACCAAGGGUUCCUGUCCAACGUUAAUCGGGGCAGGGUGAGUCGACCCCUAAGGCGAGGCCGAAAGGCGUAGUCGAUGGGAAACGGGUUAAUAUUCCCGUACUUGGUGUUACUGCGAAGGGGGGACGGAGAAGGCUAUGUUGGCCGGGCGACGGUUGUCCCGGUUUAAGCGUGUAGGUGUGUGUUCCAGGUAAAUCCGGUUCACUUUAACACUGAGGCGUGAUGACGAGGCACUACGGUGCUGAAGCAACAAAUGCCCUGCUUCCAGGAAAAGCCUCUAAGCAUCAGGUAACAUCAAAUCGUACCCCAAACCGACACAGGUGGUCAGGUAGAGAAUACCAAGGCGCUUGAGAGAACUCGGGUGAAGGAACUAGGCAAAAUGGUGCCGUAACUUCGGGAGAAGGCACGCUGACACGUAGGUGAAGUGAUUUACUCAUGGAGCUGAAGUCAGUCGAAGAUACCAGCUGGCUGCAACUGUUUAUUAAAAACACAGCACUGUGCAAACACGAAAGUGGACGUAUACGGUGUGACGCCUGCCCGGUGCCGGAAGGUUAAUUGAUGGGGUCAGCGCAAGCGAAGCUCCUGAUCGAAGCCCCGGUAAACGGCGGCCGUAACUAUAACGGUCCUAAGGUAGCGAAAUUCCUUGUCGGGUAAGUUCCGACCUGCACGAAUGGCGUAAUGAUGGCCAGGCUGUCUCCACCCGAGACUCAGUGAAAUUGAACUCGCUGUGAAGAUGCAGUGUACCCGCGGCAAGACGGAAAGACCCCGUGAACCUUUACUAUAGCUUGACACUGAACAUUGAGCCUUGAUGUGUAGGAUAGGUGGGAGGCUUUGAAGUGUGG
rnacentral:rRNA from 1 species